rnacentral:lncRNA from 1 species
GAAUAUCACAACAACAAAUUACAUAGCGGUAGAGUUUAGGUUUUUUUAGCUUUAAGUUUUGAGAUUAUUUUUUCGUGUUUAGGGUUGGUAGAGUUUUAGCGUUAGAUAGGAUUUAUGUUUAGGCAGGGUUUAGGGUUAGCAGGGUUUAGGGUUAGGUAGGGUUUAGGGUUAGGAAGGGUUUAGGGUUAGGUAGGAUUUUAGGGUAGGUAGGGUUUAGGGUUAGGUAGAGUUUGGGGUUAGGUAGGGUUUAGGGUUGGUACGGUUUAGGGUUAGGUAGGGUUUAGGGUUAGUAGGGUUUAGGGUUAGGUAGGGUUUAGGGUUAGUAGGGUUUAGGGUUAGGUAGGGUUUAGGGUUAGGUAGGGUUAGGUAGGGUUUAGGGUUAGGUAGGGUUUAGGGUUAGUAGGGUUUAGGGUUAGUAGGGUUUAGAGUUAGUAGGGUUUAGGGUUUAGACAAAUUAUUUGUGAUAAUUGUUUUUCAUUCUAUUUUAACAAAAUUUAACGUUAUUAAAAUAUAAUUUACCUUUUUUAUUCAUAAGAUGUGACUUUCAAAAUAUUUUGGCAAUUAAAAUAAUGGAUGUAAGAUUUAAAAUUCACAAUAUAAUUUGUUAGUUGAAUAUCACAACAACCAAAUUACAUAGCGGUAUAAUUUAGGUUUUUUUAGCUUUAAGUUUUGAGAUUAUUUUUUAGUAUUUAGGGUUGGUAGAAUUUUAGCGUUAGAUGGGAUUUAUGGUUAGGUUUAGAUAGGGUUUUUGGGUUAGGUUUAGGUAGGGUUUAGGGUUAGAAAGGGUUUAGGGUUAGGUAGGGUUUAGGGUUAUCUAGGGUUUAGGGUUAGGUAGGGUUAGUAGGGUUUAGGGUUAGGUAGGUUUUAGGGUUAGAAAGGUUUUAGGGUUAGGUAGGGUUUAGGUUAGGUAGUGUUUAGGGUUAGUAGGGUUUAGGGUUAUGUAGGGUUAAGGUUAGGUAGGGUUUAAGAUUAGCAUGGUUUGGGGUUAGAAAGGGUUUAGGGUUAGUAGGAUUUAGGGCUAGAAAGGGUUAGGUAGGGUUUAGGGUUAGGCAGGAUUUAGGGUUAGGUAGGGUUUAGGGUUAGAAGGGGCUUAGGGUUAGAUAGGGUUUAGGGUUAGAAAGGGUUUAGGGUUAGGUAGGGUUUAGGGUUAGGUAGGGUUAGGUAGGGUUUAGGGUUAGAAGGGGCUUAGGGUUAGAUAGGGUUUAGGGUUAGAAAGGGUUUAGGGUUAGGUAGGGUUUAGGGUGAGGUAGGGUUAGGUAGGGUUUAGGGUUAGGUAGGGUUUAGGGUUAGAAAGGGUUUAGGGUUAGUAGGGUUUAAGGUUAGUAGGGUUUAGGGUUAGUAGGGUUAAAGGUUAGGUAGGGUUUAGGGCUAGAAAGGGUUUAGGGUUAGAAAGGUUUUAGGUUAGGUAGGGUUAUGUAGGGUUAGGGUUAUGUAGGGUUUAGGGCAGGUAGGGUUUAGGGUUAGGGUUAGAUAGGGGUUUAGGGUUAGGUAGGGUUUAGGGUUAGGUAGGGUUUAGGGUUAGAAAGGGUUUAGGGUUAGUAGGGUUUAAGGUUAGUAGGGUUUAGGGUUAGUAGGGUUAAAGGUUAGGUAGGGUUUAGGGAUAGAAAGGGUUUAGGGUUAGAAAGGGUUUAGGGUUAGAAAGGUUUUAGGUUAUGUAGGGUUUAGGUUAGGUAGGGUUAGUAGGGUUUAGGUUUAUGUAGGGUUUAGGGUUAGUAGGGUUUAGGGUUAGGUAGGGUUUAGGGUUAGGGUUAGGUAGGGUUUUAGGGUUAGGAAGGGUUUAGGGUUAGGAUGGGUUUAGGGUUAGGUAGGGUUUAGGGUUAGGGUUAGGUAGGGUUUUAGGGUUAGGAAGGGUUUAGGGUUAGGAUGGGUUUAGGGUUAGGUAGGGUUUAGGGUUAGGUAAGGUUUACGUUUAGGGUUAGGUCGGUUUGCGGUUAGAUAGGUUUAGGGUUUAGGUAGUAUGAAGGGUUAGGGAUUAGGGUUAGGUUUAUGUAGGGUUUAGGGUUAGAUUUAUGUAGGGUUUAGGGUUAAGGUCUAGGUUUAGGUAGGGUUUAGGGUUAAGUAGGAAAAGUUUAGCGUUUGGUUUAGGUUGGGUUUAAGGUUUGGUUUAGAAUAAUGAUUAGGAUUAUAGGGUUUAGGGUUUGUUUAUGCAUUUAAUGGUGAGUUUUUCGGAUAAAAUUGUAUAUUAAUAUUAUUGAUUCAUAA